rnacentral:rRNA from 1 species
GACGAACGCUGGCGGCGUGCCUAAUACAUGCAAGUCGAACGCACUCUCGUUUAGAUUGAAGGAGCUUGCUCCUGAUUGAUAAACAUUUGAGUGAGUGGCGGACGGGUGAGUAACACGUGGGUAACCUGCCCUAAAGUGGGGGAUAACAUUUGGAAACAGAUGCUAAUACCGCAUAAAACCUAACACCGCAUGGUGUAGGGUUGAAAGAUGGUUUCGGCUAUCACUUUAGGAUGGACCCGCGGUGCAUUAGUUAGUUGGUGAGGUAAAGGCUCACCAAGACCGUGAUGCAUAGCCGACCUGAGAGGGUAAUCGGCCACACUGGGACUGAGACACGGCCCAGACUCCUACGGGAGGCAGCAGUAGGGAAUCUUCCACAAUGACGAAAGUCUGAUGGAGCAACGCCGCGUGAGUGAAGAAGGUUU